UGCCAGGAGCCGCCGAAAGGGUGCCGGAAGCGAGGGGCGUGGUUGUCCUCAGGCUCCGCCCACCGCGGGGCGGCUCGGACUCCGUCGAGCUCGUGGCCGGAAGCGGCCGGGAGCCGCGGUUUCGGACUGGCGUGCGGCGGAAGUGGUGGUGCUGCGCCUCAGCAGCUGGCCUGUGGGAGCUCGGACGAACCCCGACAGCGCGCAGGGGCCCGAGCCCUGGGGUGGCCCUCAGUGCCGCCCUCCUCCCUCCCACUCAGCCCAGCCCCGGGGGGGUCCAGUCGAUGCAGAAGCGGAGACCCCGUGUCCGGCCGCUGUGAGACGCCGGGGAACGACGGGGCCGCGUGGAGCGCGAGGGAACGUGCGUAGCACCUGACCUAGACGGAGGCUGUGCGAAUGACUGGUUGUGUCACCGAACCCCGCUCUGUGUAAAGCUCCCUCGGGACCCCCACGUGCGAAGGAAGCCUGUCUGCGAAGGCUGGUCUCCGAAGGCUUUAUUUUCAGGCCGCCGUGUAGCCUGCCCUGGGGUCCUGGGGUCCUGGGCUGAGAGACGAAGCCAGGCGGUGUGCGGAGAGGAGGUCACCUCCCUGCUCAGAGCGCGGGGAGCGCCUGAAAGGCAGUCGAGAGCCGCCAGCCCCAGUUCGACCUCCUCCUUUCGAGUGGCGUAGAACUGCGCUGCGCACGCGAGUUCGCCGCGACCCAGGCCAGGUGCGGGGCGUCGCGAGGACAAGAUGCUUUUGCUUUGAGUUUGCUCUGAUCUCCCCAGCUCGCUCGCAUCCAGCAAGGGCAGCGUCUGUGUUCAGGAGAAAAUAUCCCCAAUGGCCGGUUGUAGUUCUGCGCCGGACUUCCUCAGAAGUCGGUUUCUGCGGCUGUUUUCCUCUUCGGUAAAAUCAGGACGAUUUUUACUGCUGAGGCUGAAAUUAAAAAGGUAAAGGCACGCGCCUCCCUGAAGACCUCCUAGUCUAGGGAACGGUCUGUUGGGCCUCUGUCUGCUCUUGCAAGUCAAGUUUUAUUGGGACACGGUUACACCUUUUAUGUAUCGUCUAGGCUUUUGCACCGCAAGGACAGAGUUGAAUAAUUGCAGUAAAAACUGUGUAUGACCCACGACACCUGAAAUACGUACUGCCUGGUCCUUUACAGAAAAUAUUUGCAAGCCCCCAGCCCAAGGUGUUACUAGAAAAUGGUUUUCAGAUGACAGUGGCACUAUGUUGCCAUGAUGGUCCAGAAGACAGGGAAAUUCAUUCUCUUGUAGAGGAAUCUUGCACCUUUCCAGUGAAUUGGGGUUACCUGGAGCCUGGUGUCAAGCAUAGCUCUGGGAACUGCAUAGCUGCUUCUGCAGAGUAUUAUGAAGAGUAGAGAGCAGGGCUCUGCGCUGCUGUUGGUGGUAGUGGAUUCCGUUAAGUGAAGGCUUUUCUCUCAGGGUACAGAAGAUUUCCGGUGCUUUCUAUGCAAAAGAGCUAAUAAUAAACUCAGAGCCCAGUGUU